GACCCUAUAGAGUUUAAUAUUUGAUUAUAAAUUAUUUUUUAGAAUUUAAUAUUAAUUUAUUGAUUAAUUAUUUGAUUGGGGUGAUUGAAAAAUUUAAGUAACUUUUUUUAUAUAAAAACAUUAAUUUAUGAUUGUUUGAUCCAUUUUUUAUGAUUAUAAGAUUAAAUUACCUUAGGGAUAACAGCGUAAUUUUUUUUAAGAGUUCAAAUCGAAAAAAAAGAUUGCGACCUCGAUGUUGGAUUAAAAUUUAUUUUUGGUGUAGAAGCUAAAUUUAUUGGGUCUGUUCGACCUUUAAAAUUUUACAUGAUCUGA
rnacentral:rRNA from 1 species